rnacentral:rRNA from 1 species
UACAUGUGGGGCAAGCGUUGUUCGGAAUUACUGGGCAUAAAGGGUGCGUAGGCGGCUUGUUAAGUCAGUGGUGAAAGUUUUCGGCCCAACCGGAAAAUUGCCGUUGAUACUGGCGAGCUUGAGUGCGUGAGGGAUAGGGGGAACGAGCAGUGUAGCGGUGAAAUGCGUAGAUAUGCGGAGGAACACCGAUGGCGAAGGCAAUCCCCUGGACCUGUACUGACGCUCAUGCACGAAAGCGUGGGGAGCAAACAGG